UAGUCCACGCCGUAAACGAUGGAUACUCGGUGUCCGGGAUAUUAACCUCCUGGGUACUACAGUUAACGCGUUAAGUAUCCCGCCUGGGGAGUACGGUCGCAAGGCUAAAACUCAAAGGAAUUGACGGGGGCCCGCACAAGCGGUGGAGUAUGUGGUUUAAUUCGAAGCAACGCGCAGAACCUUACCUACCCUUAACAUUUCACGACGUAUACAGAGAUGUAUAUUUCUCUUCGGAGACGUGAGGAUAGGUGCUGCACGGCUGUCGUCAGCUCGUGUCGUGAGAUGUUGGGUUAAGUCCCGCAACGAGCGCAACCCUCGUCGUUAGUUGCUAACAGUUCGGCUGAGAACUCUAACGAGACUGCCUGGGUAACCAGGAGGAAGGUGAGGACGACGUCAAGUCAUCAUGGCCCUUACGUCCAGGGCUACACACGUGCUACAAUGGGGCAUACAAAGAGCAGCGAUACCGAGAGGUGGAGCAAAUCUCAAAAAUGCCUCCCAGUUCGGAUAGUAGUCUGCAACUCG
rnacentral:rRNA from 1 species